GGAGGUAGUGACAAUAAAUCACAAUGCGGAACUUCUGUUUUGCAAUUGGAUUGAGAACAACGCACAACAUUCAUCGAUAAACAAUUGGAGGGCAAGUCUGGUGCCAGCAGCCGCGGUAAUUCCAGCUCCAAUAGCGUAUAUUAACGUUGUUGCAGUUAAAAAGCUCGUAGUUGAAGUGAAGUGUGAAUCUCUUGGAUUUUCGUUUGAAUUUCCUUUAGCUUCAUACUCUUUCCAAAUAGUUUGCAUGGGUAUUUACUUAUCUGUGUAUUGCAUUUGGUCAUUUACUGUGAGAAAAUUAGAGUGUUCAAAGCAUACGUUUGUUUGAAUACAUUAGCAUGGAAUAAUUCGAAAAGGCUUUCAUGUUCGAUUUGAUUGGUUUGUUCGUGAAGGCAAGAUUAAAAGGGACAGUUGGGGGUACUCAUAUUCAAUAGUCAGAGGUGAAAUUCUCGGAUUUAUGGAAGAUGAACAAGUGCGAAAGCA
rnacentral:rRNA from 1 species